ACACUUAAUCGUGUGGAUGAUAUUAUCACAAAUUGUGAUUGUAUUGAUACAUAAAAUGAAUUGAUAUAUGUCUCAACAUAUUUAAUAUUUGAAGUUGUAGCGAAUGAGAAAAACGACGCAAUUCCACAGCCUAACCACACACACACACAAUGUGGAAAAUACGUCGUGCACGGUAUACUAGCACAUCGUCAAUCGCUGAGAAAUUUUUGCAAUAAUUAUGAUCAUCAUGCCCAAUGUCUUUCUCCCAUUCAAGUAGCACCUAGGCACGUGAAUAAGAUCCUGACAAUGGGCAUGGAAAAGCAACGAGAUCGGAGGGCAUCCAAUUUCUCCACUACUAUGGAAUUUUUCAUACUAACUAUGAAAAUGCCAAGAUUUAUGGUAAGUCCAUAAGAUUAUUGAGGGUACACAGUAAAAGUGUAUGGACAUCUGGUUGCCAUCUUGCCCACGGCAUGGGCCUGGUUUGUGUAGAGAGUCACUGAACGUAACAAAUAUGAAAAAAGAAGUUACUACACACGGGUAUAAAAAAUACCCGCAGUCACUAUGCUCCCAAAAAAUUUCUAUAUAAU
rnacentral:misc_RNA from 1 species